CAUAACCUUUUCCCAAAAAUUGUGCCAAUUAUUGACAGUGUUCAGUUGACUGAAGGAACUGGUGAAGCUGGCACCAUCAAGAUACUCAACAUAAAAGAAGGUCAGUAAUUAACUUUUAAAUUCAUCAUCACCUUUAUCUAAAAAAGUAUAUAAACGAGAAAGAAAAAUUCAGAUUUGAAUUUAAUUUCAACAUAUUAUGAAAUAUGUCUAAGGUUACUAUGUAAACAAGUUAAAAAAGUUUUUUCUCAACGUAAAAUCUACUAUUUUUUCAAAUUUAUAAAUUUAAUCUCUAAAUAAAUUUUGUCUACUUUUAUUCGUUGUUUUGAUUUUAUAAAAGCUAAAUUCAAGACUAAAAACACUUUUUUUUGUAAUAAUUAAUAAAAAAAAGACUUAAAUUAAAUUAUUUAUUUACAUAGACUAAAUUUAACUUAUAAUUUUUUAAGAACUAAAAAUUUAUUUAGAGUAAGAAGUGAGGAUUAUAUAGUAAAAAUUAAAUUGUCAAUUAAUCUAAGGGUGUUUGGAUGCAAAAAGACUAGUCUCUUUCAGAUUGAUUAUGGUUGAAUCUAAAUCUUAAAAAUGCAGCAGUCACCGUCUAGAUACUCAAAAUGUCAAAUUUUGAUUCCAUGUUAUCAAUGCAUUCAGACAUCUCUAAAUCUUAAAAAUGUAUUUAGGCCAUCAAUUACCAUCUAAUCAAGAUAGGACCAUAUAAAAAAUGUUGAAAUAUUUUUAAAUUAUAAUUUAAAAUUUGAUCUGAUAUUUAGACCAUCAAAUUUUAAUCUAACGGUGAUUGAUGUCAAAAUUUAUGAAUGUAGAAUUCCUUUCGUUGUGCAGAAUUCAAAUCCCAAAAUAUCUUAUUCAAAGCGUAAAACUUACAAAAAUAUCUUUUAUUUUCAAUUUCUAAAAGUCUUUGUAAUUGUGUGUUCAGUUUAUAAAAAAAAAACAAAAAAUCAAGUAAAAUUGAAAUAAUAUAUAUAUGUUCACAUAUAUACCUAAAACAAUUUAUUUUUGUUCUCAUAAAAAAAAUUGAUUUUUCAAUUAGUGGCUAUUACUUUUUUUUCCUUUUUCUUUUAAGUGAAUUUUUACAACAUAGUCUAUAAUCAUGGUUGAUUUAAAGGAAUUGAGAAAUGAAUAAUUUUGAUGGGUGCAGGGGACCAAAUCAAGCAAGUGCUGCACAGAGUGGAUGAAAUUGAUGAAAUAAAAUUUAUAUACAAUUUCAGCAUAAUUGGAGGCACUGGUUUAGCUGACACAUUGGAAAAAGUGUCAUUCAAGAGCCAAUUGUUUGAUGACGAAAAUGGAGGAACAAUUAGGAAAGUACAUGUUGAGUAUUUUACCAAAGGUGAUUAUCAACUCACUGAGGAGGAGCUCAAAGCUGGUAAAGAUAAGGUUGAAGGCCUUAUUAAGAUUUGUGAAGGUUACCUUUUGGCUAAUCCUGAUUAUUGAAUGUGUUUCAUUAAGGAUUAAUUAAUAAAACUUUGAUAUGCUGCCAAAUUAAUAAUACUCAGAUCAAGUUUCUGUUUUAAGCUGAAGCCUAAGAAUGAGUUAUGAGUAUGUUUUUGUAUUUGAAGAAAAUUUAUGUGUUGAGCCAUGGACUAGUAGUGAUUGGAAGGGUUGUAUUUUCUAUUUUACAAGAGAAAAUCUACUGCAUUUCAUUUAUAAUCAAAGUUACAUUUAUAUUUAUUUUUUUAAGCAAAACAAAGGAUGAAACUAGAAUUACCAAAAAAGAGAAAUAUUUGUUUGGAAACAGUACUUAAACAUAUAUAAAUAUAUUAAAUAAGAGAUAUUUCUCAAUUGGUUUUUUAAAUUUGUGAGUAUAUAUAUGCUCAGAUAUUUUUAGAGAAGGAAUGUUAUCCAAAUUAAAUUGUUACCUUCGACAAAACGCUGAAAUAUAUAAUAUAUAUAAAGACAAUGACGAAAAUCAGAUCAUAAAAAAAUCACGUUAUUUAAAAAUAAAAAUGUUCCCCACUUAUCGAGAAGUCCCCUUUGCUGACCUGACACAAUAUGUAGGUGUUGGAAAUGAUGAUGCUUUAAUGAAAGUUUAUUGGAAAUAAUGAUGACAUUUAUGAGAGUUAGUGUUGUUGUGAAUUGAAAAAAUUGAGAAGUCCUAGAUUGGAGGGAUACCACACACUAGUAGGAUAUAUAAGGUGGAGGUAAAGAACUUGGCUUGGCUUGACUUUACUUUGCUUUGGCUACGUAGUGUAUUAUUAUUUUUUGCAUGAAAAUUAAUUAAUCAUUUUAAUUAAUUGAUUGCUUGCGUUUUAUCUCUAAUUGAAACGUUAAUUACGUCUGAUCCAGUCUUUCUCCCUGAAUUCAUGCGCCUGUUUUUGCCCGGUCAAAACCCUAAUCUUUGGUCUCACGUUUCCUUUGUUGUCCGGUCAAAAGUCAGAGUCAAAUCCCUAAGUUUGGAGCACACGUUUUGGGGGCUUCGAGCGCACGUUUCUGAGGGCCACUACUUGGAGCGCAGGUUCUGAUGAUCCACGGUUUUCUCAGAUCCAGUUGCGUAUUUCCUCUAUAAAUAGAGGGUUCUCCACAGUUGGAAAAUCACACCAAAAGCUAUCUAUAUCUGAGACUUUUCUCACUUCUCCCCCUUCUUACUGCUUCUUCUCUUUCUUUUGAGUGGUCUUUGUGUCAUAUUACGAGUGUCAUUCGUAAGACUGCCAUAUUGAGGGUGUAAUUUUAUAACGGUUUUCUACAGUGCAAUAGAACUCCGAUACAGAGUAUCUGAGCUGUUUUAUCCUGGGGACUUCGUAAGACUGCCACAAUUUUGGGCAGUGUCUCAAAACGUCUUAAAGAGAGCGACCUAGUCCACGACUCAACCCAAUAAUAUUUUCGGUGGCAUAAUUGUUUUCAAAAUUUUUUUUUCGAAAUUCAAAAAUAACAGUAAGACAUUACUAUAAAAUAUUUAUUCAUCACAGUACAAAUUGGGUUCAAUCUUUCAUAAAUACCCACAUCUCUAUCUAUUUAUAAGAUGCUUAGAUUUUUCAAAACUCUAUCACUUGAGAUGAUCUAUUUAUGAAAGAAUAAUAAUAAUAGUUAAAAAAUAAGCUAAAUUACAUUUGUGGUUCCUUAACUUAACAAGAAUAUAUUUUAGUUAUUUAUCUAUUUUUUUUUCUCGAGUUGGUUCUUUAUUUUAAUUUUAAGUGAUAAUUUGAUAUUUUAUGUUUUAAAAUUUCAACAAUGUUAUCAUUUUUAUACAAAAAUUCAAAAAAAGUCAUCAAAAUUUUCAACAAAAACCCAUAAAAUUAAUAAUCUUCAAUAUAAUGCAAAUUUUAUCAAAUUUAUCACUCAAAUAUUCAAAUACACUCAUAUUUUCAUCUCCAACAACAUCAAAUAAAGAAUGAAAAUAUGAGUUUAUUUCAAGAUUUAAGUUAUGAAUUUGAUUAAAUUUGUAUUUUAUUGAAGAUGAUAAUGAAUUUUAUGGGUUUUGUUUGAAAAAUUUGAUGAUUUUUUUUAAUUUUGGUAAAAAAAAGGACAACAUUGUUGACAUUUUAAAACAUAAAAUAUCAAAUUGUCACUUAAAAUUAAAAUAAAUGAUCAACUCGAGAAAAAAAAUAUAUAUAUAAAUGACUAAAACGUUACCUGAAAUUAAGUUAAGGAACCACCAAAUGUAAUUUAGUCUAAAAAAUAUUAAUCGCAUCUUUUUAUAUUAAAUAGACUUUCAAGUAUUUAGGUAUUUAAAUGAAAUUUUAUAAAGUAAUUAUAUUUUAAUUCAUCUAAUUUUCUCAAUAUUUAUUUAGUGUCUCAUUUUUCUGGAUACUUUUUUAUUACAUAACGAAUAUAUCAUAUUAUUCUAUAUAUUUUAUUCUAUUUCAAAGUAUAUAUAUAUAUCAAUUUUUUUCUUUUAUAUCACUAUUAUUAUUGAUGAGAAAAAAAAUCAAUAUAAUAAUAAGGUUUCUAAGGGAUUUUCAAAAUAGUUGGAGUUUUAAAAGAGAGAGUUAUUUUUUUAAAGAUCACUCCCUAUUAGUCACCUCCACUAAAGAAUAAUAAAUAUAAAUAGCUAUUAGAAAGUAAGUCUUCUACAGAUAUUCUCUCUUUUCUAUAUGAUGCAGACUGCACCACUAAGAAAAUGUAAAUAAUGUGUUUUUGCUAUUAUUGUUGUUAAAAAUAAUCGUAUAAAGUUAUUAUUAAUCUCAUUUAAUAACUUUUUAGAAGCACCGGAGAGUUUUUUAAGGACUAUUAAUAAAAAAAAUAAAAAAAAAAUAAAUGAAUGGUGUGUACGUGGCUCUAUGCGGAACUGAUUUAAAUAUUUAUUUUGCAAAUUCACGUGAAUUAUAGAUCUAUAAAGUAUGAUCAUACUUUAAAAUGAUGAAGUAUCUAUGUUAGAUAUUUAUUUGAAAUUAGAUUAGUUAAUAUAUUAAAGAUUUAAUUUGUAUAUUUUAUACUGACAAAUAAUCAUAAAUGUAACUAUUUUAAAAAGUCACAAAUAUGAAUAGUUGUGAUGUUCAAUAAUGUAAAAAAAAUUAUAUUAAUAGGACAUGACAAUUAAUCUAUAUUUUAAAUUAUAAUUAUAUCCAAAUACUAUUUCUAAAAUUUUUUAUUCUAAAAGAAAAACUUAAAUUGCUUAAACAAUGAUUGAGGAGACUGUGCAAGAAUUAAUCUGUCUAAGUGAUUUGUUUAGAGGAAUUGCUUAAACAAUGAUGAAGUAUAAAAUUAAUUUACAUUAUUAAUACAUAAUUUUUGUCCCUCUUAGUAUAUAUCCAAAAGACGUAAAAAAACUCCAAAUUUAAAGUAAAGUUGUCGUUAAUGCUUAGAAUAAUCAUGUAAAUCAAAUGGACUUCAACUCGAUAUUCCUUGCAGUCGGAUAAGGUAAGAGACAAAUUUGUUGAAUAAAGGAAUCAAAAGUUUUAUGAAUAAUGAAUGUGAAAGCAUUGAAAGAACGAAAUGCAUAGCAUAGGUGCCAAUUUUGAAGAAUUGCCGUUCUUUGUGCAUUUGUUCAAGUCAACAACACUCCAUUUUCAAAUUUCUUUGCCCAUCUCUUCUGAUGUAAUAAGUCACUAACUUUGAAAUUUAUAUACUAACUAGCAAGACGUUGUUGUUGUUGUUGAAAUUGGAUACGUGCCUUGUGUGAUUUUAAAUAAAUUUUUUAUUUUUAUUUUUAUUAAUAAUAAAUAUUUUUUAUAUUUGUAAAUGUCAAAAAUUGUUCUUGUUUAUUUAAUAUUUAUAUUAAUAAAUAUUUAUCAUGUGUUUUUUGAUAUAAAUUUGUUCUGUAAUUUUUAUAUUUUUUUAUUGACAACGUACAUUUUUUCGUAUUAGGAAAAAAUAUUUAUCAAUGAUAAAAGUCUGUUAUGUGUUUUUUAAUAUUUAUUAAUGAUAAAUAUUUGUCUGUGUUUGUUUAUAUAUUAGUAGCAAAUACUUUUACUACAAUUUUUAUAUUUAUUAUUGUCAAUAUUUGUCCCAUGUAAUUUUUUUUAUAUUUAUAUUGACAAAUAUUUGCACCAUAUUUUUUUAAUAGUGAUUGAAAUUAAAAGAAAUAAGAAAGAAAAUAUUUGGACCAUAUUUUGUAUUGACAAAUAUUUGCACUAUAUUUAUAUUGACAAACAUUUCCACCAUAAUUUAUAGGACAUUCUUUUCUUAUAUUGAUAGUAGAUGUUUACUUUUAUUAUUGAUGGAACUUUGUGAGAUAUAACGUGGCCAUUUUAUUGUCUCUAAUAUUUUUUUUUAUAAUAAAAAUAACUUAUAAAAUAAUUAUAAAAAAAAUUUAAUUAGAAAAAUACAUUAUAUCUUUUAAUUUAAAUUUAAAUUGUAAGUGUUGUAAAUUUUAUCUAACGAUAUAAAAAUCAAACCAAUGAGCUGAUAUACUCAAAAAAAAAAAAUUGAAAAAAAUUUAAUUGAUUUUUUUUAUCCGUUCAUCGAACUAAAUAAACUCAAUCUCUGUUGAUUUUGGUAUAAUUUCACUUUAUUUAAAAUUGAUCAUCAAUAUCUGAAUAAAAUUAUUAGACUAUAUCAGUAGUGUUAUUUUAAAUAUAUGUUAUAUACCCAUAAAUCUGUCUCUUCUAAAUAUAUACAACUUUUAUGUCCAAUUUAUCUAUUUUUUACAGUUGUAUUUACAAAAAAAAAUUACAUAUUUACAUUGCAAAUUUACAACCUCAAAUUUUAAUAUAUAUAUAUAUAUAUAUAUAUAUAUAUAUUAAAAUAUCAUAUUUAAUUUAUCAAUUAAAAUUUAAAAAAUUCGACAUCUCAAAAUAUUUCCACCAAUGACUUUUGUGAGAUUUUUUUUAAAUAUAUACUAUUGUUAACUUUGUGAAUUUUAUUAAAUGAAAUUUGGGUUAGUUUUAUUUUUUAUUGAUGAGAAUGUGGUAGUUUCAUUUAUCAGAGAAUGAUUGUGAUGAGUUGGUAGUAUACAUUUUUGUACAUUGAUUGAAUACGACUAUUAAACUCAUAAAAUGAAUAAUUAUUUGUAUUUUUUAAUAUUUGCGUAAAUAUAUCAUACCUAACUACAAGUUCGUCUUUUUUACAAUGCAAUAUUUUAUUUUUAAAGUCUUUUUUUAUUUUAUUAGUAAAUUAAAAUAAACACGUAAUUUAAUAAAUACAAACACCUUUUUUUUUUUACUAAAUAGGCUUUUACCUUCGUUCUUAAAUAUUAAUUUAAUUGACAAAUAACAAUAUUGAUAGAUGAAAAGUCUUCUUACUUUCAAAAUUUAUUCUUUAAAAAAAUAAUACACACUCUAAUCUAGGCAAAGUAGCUAGUAAUUGAACUUAUUAAUGUAAUAUUUCUUAAGUAAUUUAAAAAAAAAAUAUUCAUUCCGUUUCAAAAUGAGUAUAACUUAAAAUUUUUGCACAUUUAUAAUACAACAAUUAGAAAUAAAAAAAGAUAAGUUAUUUUACAAACUAUUAAUCUUAAGUAUUGAUAUAUUUUUUACUAUUAUCAAUACAAAAGAUAAUAAUGAGUCCGUUUGUGUAAGAUUUUUUAAAAUCCCUCAAAUAUUUUAUAAUAAAAAGCCUCUAGAUGAAAGAAAAAAUUGCCGCUAUCCAGCUCGAUUAAGACUCUAUGGUGUAUUUUUUUGCAGUACCCAAAAAUAUUUAACAUUUAUUUUUUUAAUUAGUGUUUUUCUCUCUGAAUUUUUUGACACAUUUUAACGUGUGUAUGUUUUCCAAAUCUUCAAUUUGUUCCACUUCUCCUUGUUAGUUUUUAUGCCACAAAUUUCCAAAAUUCUCUCUGAAAAAUUUCAGAAUUUUCUCUCUUCUCCCUUUUUUGCUUCGCCUCAAAUUUUAUGUCCGUCACUUUAUCGAAAAAUUGUCCCUUCAAAUUUUCAAGUAGUUAUAAAAUCAUAUUUUUGAGUGUCCUUAACCGUCAUAUUAAGAUAGUGUAUUUCUAGAACGGUUUUUUACAAUGCAUUAAUUAAAUAGAUACAAUGUAUCUAAACUAUUUUAUCUCGAGGACACUGUAAUUGACCAUUUGUCUUACACAAUUUUAAAUUGUGCCACGAAACUUGUUAAAAAGAACAACAUAAUUAGCAAUUCAACCUAAUAAAAUAUUCGAUAAUUGAAAAUUAUUUUUCAAAACAAUUUUUCAAAAAUUAAAAGACAACAAGUCCUUAGCAGGACAAAAGGCUCUGUAUGAUGUAGUAAAGAUAACUAGUCUAUGAAUCUUUAUCACAUUGUCAUCAAAUAAAAGAGAAGGUGUGUUGAGUAAAUUUAAAGAGGAUUAUAGGGAGUGUUGGUUAAAAAUUAAUACCAGUGAGAAAUUACCUAUGACAACCAAGAUCUUUGAUCUUGAAUUUAUCAUUCACAAAGGAUUUUACCUGUUGUAUCUCAGACUAAUCAUUUCUUGUAACCACUAUGACAUCAACGUAUAUUAGUCACUCAAUAAUAUAUGAUUAUUCUUAUGUUUGAUGAAUAGAGAAAAAUCAGCAUGUGAGUGAGAAUAACUAAGGAAGGAGUUAGAGAAGUUGAAAUUUCUCCCUCUAAAAACUAGGGUGGAAACUUGUUUAUUAGCUUUAUUUUAAUAAAGUUAAUUAUGAUUAAAAGUGCCAUAAAUAUAAAAAUUUAUUUAUAUUUAAAUGUAUUUAUGUAAAAAUAAAUUAAAUAAUAAAUUAAAAAUUAAAAAAUUAUAAUUCAAAUUAAAAUUUAUUAUAAAAAUAAAAUCUCAAGAACAAACAAUUAAAUAUAAUAAAAUCAAUUAUGCUCUUUCUAAAAUCAAUUUUAGUUCCACCAAAAAUUAACACAAACUUACACAAUAAUAAAUUUAUUAAAAUCACAAUGAAUCACAUUCAUUUUAUACAAGCUACGAGUUCUAUACUUUUAUCGUGAUUAUGACAACAACAAAUUAAUUUCGUAUCAAACAUAUAUUAAUCACUAAUUUUGUUUGCGUAAUGCGCUUUGCUGCUGCGUGAUUACUCGUCGACUUGUACUUACUAAUCAACUAUAGAUUUUUUGUCUUUAACACAAACAAACAUGAGUCACUAAACCAAGACAAGUUCGGUUAGCACUUUUUUAACUUUAGUAUCUUACUGCACCACGUACAAACCUGUGCUAAUCCGUUAGACUAUAAUAGAUUACUUUUUAACCGAAAGUAAACAAAUGAUGGAUUUAAAUUGAUACAACCACCCAUAGUAUAAAUAUUUUAUAUGUUCUAACUAAUUUUGAUCUUGAUUGUUGAUUUGAUUAUUAAAGAUGUUUAAUUUUUAAAAGGUUGGAUAACUUAAUUAGCAUGAGAUAAAGGCUGAAGAUGUUGAAAGAGAGAAGAAAUAACUAUGAUAAAGAAGAAUUUAUUAAUUUAAUUAAUAAUACUAAUAUUUGUCUAUAAAAAAAUAUAUUUGGUUUUAACCGUAUUUUAAUAGUCAUAUAAAUUAUAAUUUAUGAUGGUAAAAUUAUUCUCUAAAUAAUAUUCUUUCAAUCUUGUAUUACGUGAUAUCAUACGAGGUUUCUUGGGUUUAAUAGAAGAUGAAGAGAGAUUUUAAUCGAAAUAAUAUAAAAAGAGAUAAUUAGAUAAAUGAAUAUAUGUUUGAUUUAAAAGUGGAAAGUAAAAAGAUAUAUUUUAAAUGGUUUUAUGUUUGGUCUGAAGAAAGGAGAAAUAUAUAAAAUUAGAUAAAAUAUAUCGUAUAUUCUUUUAAAUUAUACAAAAAUAUCAAAUUGAUUUUUUAUCUUUUUUUUUUGUUUUAAAUUAAUCUUUUAUGUUUCCAAAAGUUAUAAUGUUAAUUAUUUUUAGUCGUAACUUUGUUUCAAUUAUUUUUAGUUAGAUAUUUUAAAAUGGGACUAUGAAUUUUGUUAUCUAUUUCACUCGAAUUUUCUCUUCUUUAAUUAUUUUUCUAACAUUUAAUUGAAAGCUUAUAUUCUUAUGAUUAUUGCAUCAAAACCUCUUAAAAAUUACAUGAGUUUGUUGAAAAAUUUGGAGAAUUUUUUAUUUCAAUUUUGGUGAUUUAAAAUAAAAAUAAUUGGUAUGUAAAUAUUUACAAACAUAAAAGACGAACUUAAUAUCAAAUAGAUCUUUAAAAUUAUGCACACAAUAAAAAAAUUAUAUUAAAUUUUAUAUAAUCAAAUAAAUUUGAUUAACUAAAAUAUAUGUCUCUAAUAAAUUGUUAGUGUAGUAGUUCAAUUGAUUAAGAUAAAAUAAAUAAAGAUAUUAGAAAAAAAUAUAAACAAUAUUUCUAUUAAUAUUAUAAAAUAAAAUAAAAAUAAUAUGAAACAAAUAUAUAUUUUAAAUAUACCAGAGAUAUAAAGUAUCAAACAUAUAAACAAAUUUAAAGAUGAGCCAAUUAAUAUUUUAUCUCAAAAAAAAUUAAGGGUGAGACAAUGUAGUCUCAAAAAUUGUGAAAUACUUCUUUCGUUAUACAUUGAGGAGUUUAUUUGAUCAUUAUAUAUAAGUUAAGAAAUAUGUAUAAAUGUCUCAUAAGUGCAGUUAAUAAGAUAUAUAGUUGUAGCAAUAUUUGAUAUGUUAAGCAACAAUUUUAAAUUCAAGAAUAACCUUUUUUUCUUCUUCUUAAUAUUUAAUGUGCACAAAUUUUCAUACAAGGAGUUUUUUAGAAGAAGACAAUUUGUACAAAUAAAAGAAAAUAAUACUUUUAAUAAAUUAUCAUUAUUAAUUAUCAAUGUACUCUGUUACCAUGAUCAUGAAUACAAAGUGAAACAUAAUAAUUUGAGAGUUAUACAAAUAGGUAUAAUAGAAAAAAUAAUAAUUUAAAUAUUUAAUUUGUCCAUGUAAAUUGGUGUUUUUCUUAUUUUCGUCUUUGUAAGUGUUUUUUUCAAUUUAAAUCCUAUAAAUUCAAUUUAAUUUUAAAAUCAUCUCUAUCGAUAAUUACUGCUAAAAAAAACGUAUGUGGCAAAUAGACAAGUGACGUGGAAAUUUGACGUGAUAAAUUAAUAAAUUAAAUAAUUAAUUUUUUUUUAAGAUAUUAUGUUUUAGUUCUUCAAUCCAAAAUCAAAAAAAGUUUGGGAUUAAAUUUUCUACUUCUUUCUCUGUCAUCGCAUUAUCAUUACUAUAUCACUAACAUCGCAUCACCAUAUUUAAAUCACCAUUAUCGAAUCACCAUAAUCGAAUCACCAUCUUUGAAUAGCAAAUACAUCUCUAACUAAUAUAUCUUUUAUUAAUAAUUUAUAAAUUAAAUUGAUCAACGAAAAAUAUAUUAAGAAACUAACCUAUUCAAUUUUUACAAUUUCAAAUAUACACAUAUUGAUUCACUCAAUUUAAAACCCUACUAGUAAUUUUUAAAAGUAAAUAUUAAUUCAUUUUAGUCUCUCCAUAUGUGAGACAUCGUCACUUAGUUUUUGAAUGUAUAUCAAAUUAGCAAAUACAUCUCUAACCAAUAUAUCUAUUAUUAGUAAUUUUAUGAAUUAAAUUGAUCAACAAAAAAUAUAUUUAAAUAUUAAACUGAUUAAUUAAAAAUAUAUUUGAGAACAAAAAUGAUUAACAAAAAAAAUAUUUAAAUAUAUUUUUAUAAUUUAAAUACAUUCAAAUGCUAUUGUAACAAUGUCUCACACAUUAAAAUAUAUAAACAAAAACUCAAAUAAUUUGAUUUAAUGAUAAAAAAAAAUAUAUAUGAAGUCUGACAUUGUAAUUUUGAUUAUCAUUGAUGUCAUUAAAAAGCAAAAUAUAAAUCCAAUAAGACCUAAAAUCGUCAAUUUUUACAUAAAAAGGGACCUAAAUUGAUGUAUAAUAUAAUUUAUAAACCGUCUUUGAGUGUGAGACUGGUUCAUAUAGUAUUUUUUUCCCGCAACCCAAUUAAAACGUACCGUCUUCUAGUCAUGUUAGCAUUUUUCUUAAAAGAUUGUCCAAAUUCAACACAAAGAGCAUUGACCCAACAACCUCAAUAAACUUCUUGAGCUAAAUAUGUGCUACCCAAGUUUCUAUAAAUACCAUCCCUCACUAUGUCAUAAACCGCAUCACAAACAUUAUAUAUUAUAUAAUAACUCCUCCUAUAUUUUUUGUUGCAUCUAUAUAAUAUAUAUCAUGGGUGUUUUUUCUUUCGAUGAUGAACUCCACUCAACUAUUGUUCCAGCUAAACUCUACAAAGCUCUUGCUAAAGAUGCUGAUGAUAUAGUUCCAAAGGUUAUUGAGGCCAUCCAAAGUGUUGAAAUUGUUGAAGGAAAUGGAGGACCCGGAACCAUCAAGAAGCUAACCGCUGUUCAUGGUAAUUCAAAAUAUCAUUUUCACACACUCUCUAUAAGGAAAUAUAAACAAAGAUGAUAUAUAAAAAAUUGAUAUAUCUUAUUAAAAAUUAUGAUUAAAUAUAUUAAAAAAUUUAUAUGUUUCAUUUUAGAAUAGUACGUUGUAAUUACAAUCAAUUAAUAAUGCAUGUAUUUUAAAGUAAUUAUAUUUUAAUGUGGUUGAUUAGAUAAUUUUAUUCAAUGAUUAAUUUAUAAGUAAUUAGUUAAUUUAUUAAGUUUAGUUAAAACAAUUUUUUCAACCAUCAAUCAAUAAUUUAUUAAGUUUAUUAAGUAAUUAUGACAUCUUUAAUGUUUUCAGCUUCCAAAAUCAGCCCAACAUAUCAGUUUUUUUCCCCUUAAACUGAUUUCAUGUGCGUGGUUAAUAAUUUUGUUUUUAAAAUUUGUAUGAAUUAUGAUGGUUGUAUUGCAGGUGGCAAAACAAGCUAUGUGCUACACAAAUUAGAUGCAAUUGAUGAAGCAAACUUUGGAUAUAACUACAGCUUAGUGGGAGGAACAGAUGUGGAUGAAAGUUUAGAGAAAGUUACAUUUGAGACAAAGAUAGUGGCUGGUCCAUCUGGUGGGUCCAUAGUGAAAAUCUCAGUGAAAUAUCACACCAAAGGCGAUUUAGUUUUAUCUGAUGCAGUGCGUGAUGAAACAAAAGCCAAAGGAACUGGACUUCUUAAGGCCAUUGAGGGUUACGUUUUGGCUAAUCCUGAUUACUAAGUAAAUUAAAUUAAAUGUUUGUUUUCAUUUUGGUCUUGUUGUGUCGUGCGAGUGAUUAAUAAUUGAAGUCUAUGAU
rnacentral:lncRNA from 1 species